rnacentral:rRNA from 1 species
GCCGCAGCGAAAGCGAGUUUUAAUAGAGCGUUUAGUCGUAUGCGAUAGACCCGAAGCCAAGUGAUCUAUCCAUGAGCAGGGUGAAGCAAAGGUAAGACUUUGUGAAGGCCCGAACCCACUGAUGUUGCAAAAUCAGGGGAUGACUUGUGGAUAGGGGUGAAAGGCCAAUCAAACUUGGUGAUAGCUGGUUCUCUCCGAAAUGUCUUUAGGGACAGCGUUAUAUGUUGCGCUUUGGAGGUAGAGCACUGAUUGAUCUAGGGGGCCAACAAGCUUACCAAACUCAGUCAAACUCCGAAUGCCAAAGUGUUUAAAUAUAGCAGUGAGCCCGUGGGGGAUAAGCUCCACGGACGAGAGGGAAACAACCCAGAACAACAGCUAAGGCCCCUAAUUGUAUAUUAAGUGUGAAACGAUGUGAAAGUGUUCAGACAGCCAGGAGGUUGGCUUAGAAGCAGCCAUUCCUUUAAAGAGUGCGUAACAGCUCACUGGUCGAAUGUUUUCGCGCGGAAGAUGUAACGGGGCUAAAUAUACAGCCGAAGCUUUGUCAUCAUAUUAUUAAUCCAGAUUUCGAUCCAGGAAAUAUGAUGGGUAGGAGAGCGUUGUAUGGGCAAUGAAGCAGCAACGAGAGUUAGUUGUGGAGACCAUACAAGUGAGAAUGUUGGCAUGAGUAGCGAAGGAAGAGUGAGAAUCUCUUCCGCCGAAUGUCCAAGGGUUCCUGGGGAAGGUUCGUCCGCCCAGGGUUAGUCGGGACCUAAGACGAGGUCGAGAGACGUAGCCGAUGGAUAACAGAUUGAUAUUUCUGUACCACUAUAUAAGCGCCAAAAUCGAAUAUAUGUCGCUAAGGAAAGCCUUCGGGCCUACCGACCCACAUAUUAUUAGAUUAGCAAUGGAGUGACGGAGAAGGAUAAAUGAGCCCAGGCGAUGGUUGACCUGGGGUAAAUGCGUAGGGUGAUCGACAGGUAAAUCCGUUGAUCAUGAAACCUGAGACAUGAUGCCGAGCCGCUUUUAGGCGAAGUCAUUGAUUCCAUACUUCCAAGAAAACCUUCUAGUUAGUUUAUAUAGUGCCCGUACCCCAAACCGACACAGGUGGACAAGUAGAGAAUACUAAGGCGAGCGAGAGAACUCUGGUUAAGGAACUCGGCAAAAUAGUUCCGUAACUUCGGAAGAAGGAACGCCCCAGUAAAGUGAGUGAUUAACUUCAUUAGCUUGAACGGGCCGCAGUGAUCAGACUCAAGCGACUGUUUAUCAAAAACACAGGAGGGUGCAAAGUUCGAAUACAACGUAUACCCUCUGACACCUGCCCGGUGCUGGAAGGUUAAGUGGAUAGGUUAGCUUCGGCGAAGCUUUGAAAUUAAGCCCCAGUAAACGGCGGCCGUAACUAUAACGGUCCUAAGGUAGCGAAAUUCCUUGUCGGGUAAGUUCCGACCUGCACGAAUGGUGUAACGAUUUGAGUACUGUCUCAACCAGAGACUCGGCGAAAUUGCAAUGUGAGUAAAGAUGCUCACUAUGCGCGACAGGACGGAAAGACCCCGGAACCUUUACUGCAACUUGAUAUUGAAUGUUUGUAUGCAUUAUGCAGGAUAAGUGGGAGACUAUGAAAUAAUGGCGCUAGCUGUUAUUGAGUCGACCUUGAGAUACCACUUAAUCCAUAUUGACCUUCUAACCUAGAUCCGUUAUCCGGAUCAGGGACAUUGUCUGGUGGGCAGUUUCACUGGGGCGGUGGCCUCCUAAAAAGUAACGGAGGCGCUCUAAGGUCACCUCAGCGUGGACGGCAAUCACGCAUCGAGUGUAAGUGCAAAAGGUGGCUUGACUGUGACACAAACAAGUGGAGCAGGUACGAAAGUAGGAACUAGUGAUCCCAUGGUUGCAUGUGGGUGCGCCAUGGCUCAUCGGCUAAAAGGUACUCCGGGGAUAACAGGCUUAUACCCCCCAAGAGUCCAUAUCGACGGGGGUGUUUGGCACCUCGAUGUCGGCUCUUCUCAUCCUGGGGCUGGAGCAGGUCCCAAGGGUUAGGCUGUUCGCCUAUUAAAGAGGAACGCGAGCUGGGUUCAGAACGUCGUGAGACAGUUCGGUCCCUAUCCGUCGCGCACGUAAGAAAUUUGAAGAAAGUUGUCCCUAGUACGAGAGGACCGGGAUGAACGAUCCGCUGGUGUGCCAGUUGUUCUGCCAAGAGCACCGCUGGUUAGCUACGAUCGGACGGGAUAAGCGCUGAAAGCAUCUAAGUGCGAAGCCCCUUCUAAGAUAAGAUUUCUCAUCGGGUUAACCGAUUAAGACUCCUUAUAGAACAUGAGGUUGAUAGGUCAGAAGUGUAAUUACAGUAAUGUAUGUAGCUGACUGAUACUAAUAAGUCGAGGGCUUGAACUG